rnacentral:rRNA from 1 species
UACAGAGGGUGCGAGCGUUUGUUCGGAAUUACUGGGCGUAAAGCGCGCGCAGGCGGCUCUUUAAGUCUACCCGUGAAAUGCCGGAGCUCAACUCCGUGCACGCCGGGGGAUACUGGAGAGCUGGAGACAUGUAGAGGCAAGCGGAAUUCCGGGUGUAGCGGUGGAAUGCGUAGAGAUCCGGAAGAACACCGGAGGCGAAGGCGGCAUCCUGGACCGGCAUUGACGCUGAGGAGGCGAAAAGCUAGGGGAGCAAACGGG